rnacentral:rRNA from 1 species
GCCCCAGACUCCUACGGGAGGCAGCAGUGGGGAAUAUUGCACAAUGGGGGAAACCCUGAUGCAGCGACGCCGCGUGAGUGAAGAAGUAAUUCGUUAUGUAAAUCUCUAUCAGCAGGGAAGAAAAUGACGGUACCUGAGUAAGAAGCCCCGGCUAACUACGUGCCAGCAGCCGCGGUAAUACGUAGGGGGCAAGCGUUAUCCGGAUUCACUGGGUGUAAAGGGAGCGUAGACGGCCAUGCAAGCCUGGAGUGAAAGCCCGGGGCCCAACCCCGGGACUGCUCUGGGAACUGUGCGGCUGGAGUGCGGGAGGGGCAGGCGGAAUUCCUGGUGUAGCGGUGAAAUGCGUAGAUAUCAGGAGGAACACCGGCGGCGAAGGCGGCCUGCUGGACCGCGACUGACGUUGAGGCUCGAAAGCGUGGGGAGCAAACAGGAUUAGAUACCCUCGUAC